rnacentral:rRNA from 1 species
GACGAACGCUGGCGGCGUGCUUAACACAUGCAAGUCGAACGGAAAGGCCCUGCUUGCAGGGUACUCGAGUGGCGAACGGGUGAGUAACACGUGGGUGAUCUGCCCUGCACUUCGGGAUAAGCCUGGGAAACUGGGUCUAAUACCGGAUAGGAGCCAUUUUGAGUGUGAGGGUUGGAAAGUUUUUUCGGUGUAGGAUGAGCUCGCGGCCUAUCAGCUUGUUGGUGGGGUAAUGGCCUACCAAGGCGGCGACGGGUAGCCGGCCUGAGAGGGUGGACGGCCACAUUGGGACUGAGAUACGGCCCAGAAUCCCACGGGAGGCAGGCGUGGGGAAUAUUGCACCAUGGGCGCAAGCCUGAUGCAGCGAAGCCGCGUGGGGGAUGACGGCCUUCGGGUUGGAAAAUCCUUUCGCUAGGGAAGAAGCUUUUUGUGACGGUACCUAGAUAAGAAGCACCGGCUAACUACGUG